CCUACGGGCGGCAGCAGUGGGGAAUUUUGCGCAAUGGGCGAAAGCCUGACGCAGCAACGCCGCGUGGGUGAUGAAGGUCUUCGGAUCGUAAAACCCUGUCGUUAGGGACGAAGGUGGGGGCGUUAAUAGCGUUUCUGCUUGACGGUACCCGGAGAGGAAGCCCCGGCUAACUCUGUGCCAGCAGCCGCGGUAAUACAGAGGGGGCAGACGUUAUUCGGAAUUAUUGGACGUAAAUGGCGCGUAGGCGGUUGUAAGCCCCGAGCGCAACUUGGGAACUGCAUCUGAGACUGGAAGGCUAGAGUACUGGAGAGGGUGGUGGAAUGCCUCGUGUAGCGGUGAAAUGCGUAGAGAUGAGGAGGAACACCAGUGGCGAAGGCGGCCACCUGGACAGUAACUGACGCUGAGGCGCGAAAGUGUGGGUAGCAAACAGGAUUAGAUACCCCAGUAGUC
rnacentral:rRNA from 1 species